rnacentral:lncRNA from 1 species
GCUGCGUGUUCACUAUCGCCCCCAGACAGUGCUGGGCGAACAAACACGGGGUGUUCUGACACUUUCACAAUAACAGGUGGUCCCCAGAGGCACCAAGUGGGCGGGGACGCCACGCAAUGGGGUAGGGAGGCUCUCCCGCCACCAGCAAGGCCCAGGGCUUCGUCCCCAGCACCCCAAGGAAACAACAGCUACACUAAUACUUUGGGAUACCCUGUCCCCCACCAUUAGAAGCACAGAAUAAGAAGCGCAGGUGUUGCGAGUCACGACGGUGUAGGGGGCCAGAGCUGCAAGGUAGGUGCUGUGCCACAAAGUUCAAAAUCCAGCUGCAUCGUCUAUAAGACACCCCCUGAAAGCACUGACAGGAAGAGCAUAAAGAUGUUAAAAGAUACCAAAAGAAAUGCCUUUAGUUACAUAAAUAUCAGACAGAAUAGACUUUAAGUGGGGAGCAGUCAAUGUCCCAGACCCCCCAAAAGGUCCCACAAAGCCCCAAGCAUUACUAAUUUUUCGGUAAUGGGGAAAGGACCAGGGAUGCUUUAUUGCUGAGCUAAACCCUCGGCCUUCUUGUAUAUUUUAUUUUAAGACGGGAUCUCAGUAAAUUGCUGAGGCUGGCCUUGAACUUUAUUUUUUUUUGGUACUAGGGAUUGAACCCAGGGGGUGCUUAACCACUGAGCCACAUCCUUAGCCCUUUUUAUAUUUUAUUUAGAGACAGGAUCUCACUGAGUUGCUUACAGCCUUACUCAGUUGCUGAGGCGGACUUUGAACUCACCAUCCUCCUGUGUCCCAAGCCAUUGGGAUUAUAGGCAAGCACCACCGUGCCUGGCCUGGCCUUGAACCUUCAAUCCUCCUGUCUCAGCCUCCCAAAUUGCAGGGAUUACAGGUGUGUAAUCCCACCUUCUAAUAAUUAUUAUUAUUAGAAUCCACACUCUCUAGGGGAUUCUCAACAGAAAUGAGUUCAACAAAGAAAAAAAUAAAAGCACACUUCUAAACUACCAGGUGAUGAAGAGGAAAGUGUAGUGAAAAUUCGAAAAACUGCUAAGGUUUGCACGUGUCUCCCCCAAAAUUCAGGUGUCGGGCCUUAAUGGCCAUGUGAUAGCCUUAGGAAGUUGUGCCUUACGCCGGGCUCUGGCACACCCCUGUGGUCCCAGCUACCCGAGAGGCCGAGGCCGGAGGAUCGCAAAUUCAAGUCCAACAUAAAAAAAAAAAGGGGGGGUGAGAAUGUGGCUCCAUGGUAAAUGCCUCUGAGUUCAAUCCCCUGUUCUGGGAGGGGAGACAAAAGGAGGUUGGGCCUUUAGGAGUUCAGGUCCUGGGACUCCUCGCGCCACCAUAAAGGGCUGGUGGAGGGAGUUCUGCCCUCUGCCUUCUGCCCUCUGCCCUCCGCCCGCCAUGUGAGACGCAGCAGGGAGGCCCGGUGGCACCGG